rnacentral:rRNA from 1 species
GAUGAACGCUGGCGGCGUGCUUAACACAUGCAAGUCGAACGGUAAGGCCCUUCGGGGUACACGAGUGGCGAACGGGUGAGUAACACGUGGGUGAUCUGCCCUGCACUUCGGGAUAAGCCUGGGAAACUGGGUCUAAUACCGGAUAGGACCACUGCCUGCAUGGGUGGUGGUGGAAAGCUUUUGCGGUGUGGGAUGGGCCCGCGGCCUAUCAGCUUGUUGGUGGGGUGAUGGCCUACCAAGGCGACGACGGGUAGCCGGCCUGAGAGGGUGACCGGCCACACUGGGACGGAGAUACGGCCCAGACUCCUACGGGAGGCAGCAGUGGGGAAUAUUGCACAAUGGGCGCAAGCCUGAUGCAGCGACGCCGCGUGAGGGAUGACGGCCUUCGGGUUGUAAACCUCUUUCAGCACCGACGAAGCGCAAGUGACGGUAGGUGCAGAAGAAGGACCGGCCAACUACGUGCCAGCCGCCGCAGUAA